rnacentral:rRNA from 1 species
CCCUUAGAUGUUCUGGGCCGCACACGCGCUACACUGAAGGAGGCAGCGUGUACUCCUGGAUCGAAAGAUUUGGGUAACCCGCGAAUCUCCUUCGUGCUAGGGAUUGAGGUUUGCAAUUAUCCUUCAUGAACGAGGAAUUCCCAGUAAGUGCAAGUCAUAAGCUUGCGCUGACUACGUCCCUGCCCUUUGUACACACCGCCCGUCGCUACUACCGAUUGAAUGGUCCGGUGAAAUCUUCGGAUCUGAGAGAUGUCUGAUUAAUUUCGGACGCCUUUUGGAAAAGUUGCUUAAACCUUACCAUUUAGAGGAAGGUGAAGUCGUAACA